AUACGGAGGACGCGAGCGUUAUCCGGAUUCAUUGGGUUUAAAGGGUGCGCAGGCGGCCGUGCAAGUCAGCGGUGAAAGCCCGGGGCUCAACCCCGGAAGUGCCGUUGAUACUGCGUGGCUGGAAUGCGGUCGAGGCGGGCGGAACGGGGCGUGUAGCGGGGAAAUGCGUAGAUAUGCCACAGAACGCCGAUAGCGGAGGCAGCUCGCCAGGCCUGCAUUGACGCUCGGGCACGAAAGCGUGGGGAUCGAACAGGAUUAGAUACCCUGGUAGUCCACGCCGUAACGAUGGGCGCUCGUCGUCGGCGACAGACAGUCGGCGGCCAAGCGAAAGCGAUAAGCGCCCCACCUGGGGAGUACGGUCGCAAGGCUGAAACUCAAAUGAAUUGACGGGG
rnacentral:rRNA from 1 species